GAAUUCAUUUGUGAUUUUCAAACCAUUAUGAAACGAUGUGUUUUCGUAUAUCUUAGGCCCGUAUAUGUACUCCAUGGCAUGCGAUUUUAUUGCACGUGCUGUCAAAUGACUUUUCGGAUCAUAUUGCGUUUAUUUGGAUGAUUUUAAUAGUUUAACAAUUUUGAAAAAUUAAAUUGAGCUAGUUCCUACAAGACACCACACAAUUAGUUUGACAACUAAAAUCGCAUGCAGCGUCCAACGAAAUCAAUUGUUUUCAGUCGUAAAACGAAAUCGUACGUCUGACGUUAUCUGACAGGCCUUCCGAUAAAAUCGCAUCCGAUGCAGGACAGACUCAGUACUUAAGCAGCUUGUGAGGACAAGCAGAUGUUUCGUUCAUAUCCAAUUGACAUGUUCGAGUUCUAAAAUCGAGGUUUCGAGCUAUUUCCCUUAAACUGGCACCUUAAACUUCCCUUAAACUGCACCAGUUUAAGGAACUUUUAGAACCAGCCUUUUAAAAUCGACAGUGAAAUGUAUUUUCGAUCCUUUCCUAGCUCUAUCCGUUGGAAAAUUGUGCUUCCAAUUCUUAUGUAUUACUGAUCGUUUAGUCAUUUUAUACAAAAAUCCAUCGAAUUUUCACCAAAUAACGCUGUACAAAAAGUAUCUUUUUUUUGCCACAUAUUAAAGCUAAUUAAUCUAAAACGAAUUGGACGCCAUCAUCAUCCAAUAGAAGAAGGUCAUUCGCACGCACAAACGAAAUUUUGACACUUUUUACACGAUUUAUCACACACAAAUUCGCAUAUUUUGGUAUCUCGAGCAACUAUCGAGCAGAUUAUGGUUAAAAAUUUAGAACAAAUGUCACUUGGGUAUUUUUACCCGCUGCGCAAAGCGACGGAAGACAUCAAGGCGUUCGGAGAAUUUUGUCAUGCCAUCUUUUUCCCUCCAACGGCAAAUUUGUCAAGCAGCUCGUCGAGCUACCCGUCCCUGGUUCCGCCUCCUACCCCUGGAUGUGUUAGUGCAUCAGACGGCCAAUCGCUGUCAGCCGUCGUCCGUGCUUUUUCCCUCCAUAGCGCUAUCUCUUUCUCGCGUGUGGACAAUGCUCAUGCUUGAUGCAAUGCUUAAAAAAGCCGUUAACAAACAUUGCAGCGAUGAAGUUUCAUUUUCACAACUCAAACCAAAAAAGCGCAAUGAGUUCAAUCGCUACAAUUACAAAAAUGACGAGCCGACUGAUGAAAAGGUGCGAGAAAGCACCCAACCAGCAAAACCGAAGCUAUUGGAAAACUUUCCUGUGUGCCAAAGCGAGAGAGCAUGCAUUCUUUCUCUAGAUUUUGGACGGCACAACGCCGAUCGUGUGACCUAUGAACGAAAAACGGGAGAAGGGGUAACCGAUAUCCUUCGAGUGACACACACACAUGCAUCUGCAUGCGUAUUCCGCUGAACCGAGACUACCCAUCUCUCUCGAUCUCACAUGAUUUUUCUGCUAUCGCACUCAACCGGGUGUUAGGCAUCCUCAGUCUGUCCAGAACUUUCACUGUGGAAGGGUGUGUUGGAGUGAUGUGUGAUUUCUUGUGCCCCGUACUUUCCUCGUUUACGUUUUGUGCCGUGUUACUUCUUCUUCAAUUAUGGAAUGAUUUAUCCUUGUAAAUUUCUGAGUUACAGGUGCACGCGCCUGUUAAUCGACGGUUGCCAACAUCCUGCAAAACGAUCGACGGAAGGAAAACGUUGUCCGGUUUUUAAAUAUUAAAAUUUCAUCACAGCUCUUUCGUAGAAGAGCGCACUUCAAGGACGCCUAGGAUACGGCUAAACAUGCGCAGCACCAGUCCGUGACGUCAUUUCCAGACAGGCGCCGGCUGAACACGCGCAGCACCAGUCGAGGAUAUCCUAGCGCAGAGGGUAGAAGGAAGAACGAGAGGAAGGGUAACAGAAAGCAACCGCAGCAUUUGGAAGGGGUGAAGCAUCCUGCCGUAUACAGAGGGCGAGUGUGCCAAAACGCAUGUGGAAAGAGUAACACCAAUAAAUAGCAUGCGAAAGUGUACAUAAAGCAUAAAGAAAAAGCGUCACUACUACAACCAGCAAUCCGAAAAUAUAAGGGGAGGGAUAAAUACAAAUGUAUGCGUAAGCAGGACCAGCAAUCCAAGCAUUUGAAUGUGUGCGUCGGUUUGUGCCGUGCGGAAAGUUUAAAUAAAUACAAAUGUAUGCGUAAGCAGGACCAGCAAUCCAAGCAUUUGAAUGUGUGCGUCGGUUUGUGCCGUGCGGAAAGUUUUUACUUUAGCUGCUGCUAGUGUAAAAACUUAAGGAAAGCUUAAAGUACAAAUUUUUUACACGGGGCGCCUUCGGAAA